UACGUAGGGCGCAAGCGUUAUCCGGAAUUAUUGGGCGUAAAGAGCUCGUAGGCGGUUUGUCGCGUCUGCCCGUGAAAGUCCGGGGCUCAACUCCGGAUCUGCGGUGGGUACGGGCAGACUAGAGUGAUGUAGGGGAGACUGGAAUUCCUGGUGUAGCGGUGAAAUGCGCAGAUAUCAGGAGGAACACCGAUGGCGAAGGCAGGUCUCUGGGCAUUAACUGACGCUGAGGUGCGAAAGCGUGGGGAGCAAACAGG
rnacentral:rRNA from 1 species